rnacentral:rRNA from 1 species
UGGGGAAUAUUGGACAAUGGGCGCAAGCCUGAUCCGGCCAUGCCGCGUGUGUGAAGAAGGCCUUUUGGUUGUAAAGCACUUUAAGCGAGGAGGAGGCUACUUGGAUUAAUACUCUAGGAUAGUGGACGUUACUCGCAGAAUAAGCACCGGCUAACUCUGUGCCAGCAGCCGCGGUAAUACAGAGGGUGCGAGCGUUAAUCGGAUUUACUGGGCGUAAAGCGUGCGUAGGCGGCUUUUUAAGUCGGAUGUGAAAUCCCUGAGCUUAACUUAGGAAUUGCAUUCGAUACUGGGAAGCUAGAGUAUGGGAGAGGAUGGUAGAAUUCCAGGUGUAGCGGUGAAAUGCGUAGAGAUCUGGAGGAAUACCGAUGGCGAAGGCAGCCAUCUGGCCUAAUACUGACGCUGAGGUACGAAAGCAUGGGGAGCAAACAGG